GGCCUUCUUGAACGAUACCAAGUGCAUCCAUUAUUUCUUUUGACAGCUAAUAUGGAUAAAGUAACUGAUAUCAAAAAGUUCAGAAACUUACCCACUGUAAAUUAGAGUUCGCUCCAGUAGGACGGUAAACCGAUGCCUUUGGGUAUAGCUGGAAGAGGAAAGACUUCAUAUCCCCAUAAAAGUCAGCAUGCUUCUCCCAUGGCUGAGAUGCAUAACCUCCGUAAAUAUAGCCUUCUUUGUCUUUAAUUACCAAUAAAGUUGGUCCUUUGUCAUUUGAAAUGUUCCCCAGGAAAGUACUGAAACUUAGGCCAUGUACUGUACUGUGAUACAAAAGUCUCCAUUCAUGCAGCUCGUCUUGUGGGAGGGCCCCACCUAUAUGCCAAGCAUAUUCCUUUCUUAACAAUAUUACAGCAGGAUCAAUGUUCUCUGGGUA
rnacentral:misc_RNA from 1 species